UAUAUGUAUAUAUAUGUGUGUGUGUGUGUGUGUGUGUGUAUAUAUAUAUAUAUAUAUAUAUAUACACACACACACACACACACAUACAUACAUACA
rnacentral:miRNA from 1 species